GUUGAACGCUGGCGGCGGGCCUAACACAUGCAAGUCGAGCGGAUGAAGGGAGCUUGCUCCUGGAUUCAGCGGCGGACGGGUGAGUAAUGCCUAGGAAUCUGCCUGGUAGUGGGGGAUAACGUCCGGAAACGGGCGCUAAUACCGCAUACGUCCUGAGGGAGAAAGUGGGGGAUCUUCGGACCUCACGCUAUCAGAUGAGCCUAGGUCGGAUUAGCUAGUUGGUGGGGUAAAGGCCUACCAAGGCGACGAUCCGUAACUGGUCUGAGAGGAUGAUCAGUCACACUGGAACUGAGACACGGUCCAGACUCCUACGGGAGGCAGCAGUGGGGAAUAUUGGACAAUGGGCGAAAGCCUGAUCCAGCCAUGCCGCGUGUGUGAAGAAGGUCUUCGGAUUGUAAAGCACUUUAAGUUGGGAGGAAGGGCAGUAAGUUAAUACCUUGCUGUUUUGACGUUACCAACAGAAUAAGCACCGGCUAACUUCGUG
rnacentral:rRNA from 1 species